rnacentral:rRNA from 1 species
GUGGGGAAUAUUGGACAAUGGGCGAAAGCCUGAUCCAGCCAUGCCGCGUGUGUGAAGAAGGUCUUCGGAUUGUAAAGCACUUUAAGUUGGGAGGAAGGGCAGUAAGUUAAUACCUUGCUGUUUUGACGUUACCGACAGAAUAAGCACCGGCUAACUUCGUGCCAGCAGCCGCGGUAAUACGAAGGGUGCAAGCGUUAAUCGGAAUUACUGGGCGUAAAGCGCGCGUAGGUGGUUUUGUAAGUUGGAGGUGAAAUCCCCGGGCUCAACCUGGGAACUGCCUCCAAAACUGCAUGACUAGAGUACGGUAGAAGGUAGUGGAAUUUUCUGUGUAGCGUUGAAAUGCGUAGAUAUAGGAAGGAACACCAGUGGAGAAGGCGACUACCUGGACUUAUACUGACACUGAGGUGCGAAAGCGUGGAGAGCAAACAGGAUUAGAUACCCUGGUAGUCC